rnacentral:lncRNA from 1 species
GAUUUUGGAGUUUGCCACAGAUUAAAUUUUUCAGGUUUUUCUAACUAUUUUAAUGUCAAUGCCAUAAGCUUGAUUCUGCAUUUUCCAAUUUUUUUGUUUUGUUUUGUUUUUUGUUUGUUUGUUUGUUUGUUUUUUGAGACUGAGUCUCGCUCUGUCAUCUAGGCUGGAGUGCAAUGGUGUGAUCUCAGCUCAUCGCAGCCUCCACCUUCCAGGUUCAAGCGAUUCUCCUGAGGCAUCUGCCACCACACCUGGCUAAUUUUUUGUAUUUUUGGUAGAAAUGGGGAUUCACCAGGUUGGCCAGGCUGGUCUCGAACUCCUGACCUCAGAUGAUCCACCCACCUUGGCCUCCCAAAGUGCUGGGAUUACAAGUGUGAGCCACCACGCCCGGCCCCCAAUUUUUUAAAAAUACUCUUCAUAAUGUUGGGCUAAUGUCUGGAGUUCAGACAUGUUUGGAUUGUGUCAGCUAAUAUAAGUUUUCUGGAAAAUGUCAUGGAAUUCCAGUCUGAGAUUAUUUUCAAAGCUUGUGGCCAGAACAGAGGCAGUUUGGCAAGCCAGUUUCAGGCCCAAAUACUCUUUUCAUGUUGUCUCGAUGGCAACAAUCGAGGGUGAUAAUUAGCUACAGUUUCAUCCCUUUGUUGUUUACAAUUUUGAAUAUAUGACAAAUCUAGUCUCUGUGAUAGAUCUGAGGGAUGGAUCCUCUCCUAAUAAUUUUUCUUUUACUUCUUUCAGUUUCUGAUGAGAAUUGGGGGUAGUCUGAGAUCCUUGAAAGUCUUCUGGAAUUGUGGUACAUUUGGGUUUUUUAAACUAAAGGACCAACCAAUAGGUGGAUAAAUUGAUACAAAUUGGGGAACCCAGAGAGUAUACACCUAAGACAGUUCUAAAUUGUUCAAUACACCUUUACCUUUUCUUUUGGGAAUCAGGAAAGUCUUUGUUGAUGGCAUGUAAUUCAGACCAAUACCUAGGUUUAAAUGUUAUCUCUUCUGUUGGACUCACUUGGGAACAGGUACCAGCCAUACACUUGGCUUCAUCUUCAGGAGGUGGGGGCCUUGUGAACCAUACAGCUAUAAGGUUGAUCAGCUGGGAGUGCAACUGGUGGAGGACAUUCUGGGAGAGAAGGAUACAAAGGUCCCAGUCACAGCACCGAGAAACUGUCAAAAGAGAACCAGAGCCAGACACUAGUUAAGCCAGUGUGCUCUGAGAGACCAAAUCAAACUCCUCUUUAUCAACUAAGACAGACCCUAAGGUUAAGGAAACAAAGUUACCUAUGGGUCCAGGGUUCAGGGCCUGGCUGGGGUGGCAAAUUUCUGAAUUCCUACAAGAAAAACCACGCUCUUACUUAACUCUCUAGCAAUAGGAACUAUCAGAAAAAUUAUGAUAACUCUAAUUCACAACUCAGACCACUGUAAGUCUGAUUGGACAGAGGACCAGCCUUAAAAACAUUCUUUUCUG